rnacentral:sRNA from 1 species
UUACAAAGUUCAUGUGCGUCAAAGGGAUAGUGUUCUUCUGCUUUUGGCAGGUAAAUACUUAAU